CAAAUUCUAAAAUUCACACAUGACCCUGUAUGUUACUCUAUCUCCCACAGAACGGGUGAGAACCAGGGACAAUAUUGCCGAGUCUAGAUGCCUAUGCGGGGUGACCAGCCAGACUGACUUGCUAGGUUAGUCAUUUGUUCCCAUAAAUCAGUCAAUAGCAGCACACAAUUCAAGUUUCCACAAAAUGACAAGUUAUAUGUUACAGACUUCUAGGUUGCUCGUGAAUAAUGGGGACUGUGAUGACAAAGCCCAAACUUUCACUGUGAGGUACCCCACCAGCAAAAGAGUGGAUGCUGUUCCUCUAGAGGCCUAGUAGGAAAGCCAUUGCCUACUGAAAUAUAUGCUGGAGUCUCCCAUUUCAUCUUAAAUAUUUACGUGAACUUUGAACUCUAUGCCACAAUAUGCUUAGUAUACUACUAACAUGUUUUAAAUCACCAGUUAAAUUUUUCUCAAAAAAAAAAAAAUCUUCCAGGAAACUAGUGGGAUCUAGUUCCCUGACCAGGGAUUGAACCCAGGCUCCCUGCAUUGGGAGCGCAGAGUCUUAACUCACCGCACCACCAGGGAAGUCCCUAUAAUAAUGUUCCAGUCUUCGAAGAGGUAUCAUGUUGAGCUCAUGGCUUGGCCCACCUCUGACCUGCCACCGGGUCCUCUGAAGGAGCACAUUGUGAUAGAUGAGAAGGGUGGGUGUGAUACAUGACAUGCCCUAAAUGGACUUUGGUAGGUGUGGCAGGUCAAACCGUGUUCCCUAGAAAGACCUGUACCAGUUCUAACCCUCAGUACUGUGACUGUCACCUUCUUUGGAAAUAGGGCCUUUGCAGAUAUAAUUGAGGGUCUCCAGAUGAGUUCAUCCUGGAUUUAACCCAAUAAGAGAGUUUUAAGACACAGAGAAACAGGGGAGAAGGCCUUGCGAGGAUGGAGGCAAAGACUGGAAUUAUGCUGCCACCAGCCAAGGAACUUCAAGAGCCAAUAGAAGCUGGAGGAGGCAAGGAAGGAUUCUCCCUGAAAGCCUUUGGAGAACACAUGGCCCUGCUGACACCGUGACUUCUGACUUCUAGACUCUGAGAAUAAACUUCUAUCGUUUUAAGUCACCAGGGACUCCCCUGGUGGCGCAGUGAGUUAAGACUCUGCGUUCCCAAUGCAGGGAGCCUGGGUUCAAUCCCUGGUCAGGGAACUAGAUCCCACGUGCAUGCCACAACCAAGAGUUCACAUGCCACAACUAAGGAGACUGCCUGCCGCAACUAAGACCUGGGGCAACCAAAUAAGUAAAUCUAGAUACCCUGGAAGGGGAAGAAGUGGGAACACACCAGUGACUACUCACCAUCUGAGAUGUGGGAACUCCAUGGAGAAAGACCAGAAGACUCACACGCUGCGCCAUGCUGAGGUGCUGAAAGCACAAGUGAAACUUUUUUAUUUCUAUAAAUAAACA